rnacentral:tRNA from 1 species
GGGCCUCUAGCUCAAUCGGCAGAGCUGAGGACUUUUAAUCCUUAGGUUGUGGGUUCGAGUCCCACGGGGCCCACCG